rnacentral:rRNA from 1 species
ACAGUGGACGCGAGCAUCUGUGGCCAAGUUUUUAAGGGCGCACGGUGGAUGCCUUGGCACCAGGAACCGAUGAAGGACGUGGGAGGCCACGAUAGUCCCCGGGGAGUCGUCAACCAGGCUUUGAUCCGGGGGUUUCCGAAUGGGGAAACCCGGCAGUCGUCAUGGGCUGUCACCCUUGCCUGAACACAUAGGGCAAGUGGAGGGAACGCGGGGAAGUGAAACAUCUCAGUACCCGCAGGAAGAGAAAACAACCGUGAUUCCGGGAGUAGUGGCGAGCGAAACCGGAUGAGGCCAAACCGUAUGCGUGUGAGACCCGGCAGGGGUUGCGCAUACGGGGUUGUGGGAUCUCUCUUCUACGGUCUGCCGGCCGUAGGGCGAGUCAGAAACCGUUGAUGUAGGCGAAGGACAUGCGAAAGGUCCGGCGUAGAGGGUAAGACCCCCGUAGUCGAAACAUCAGCGGCUCGUUUGAGAGACACCCAAGUAGCACGGGGCCCGAGAAAUCCCGUGUGAAUCUGGCGGGACCACCCGCUAAGCCUAAAUAUUCCCUGGUGACCGAUAGCGGAUAGUACCGUGAGGGAAUGGUGAAAAGUACCGCGGGAGCGGAGUGAAAUAGUACCUGAAACCGUGUGCCUACAAGCCGUGGGAGCGUCGGACAUCAGCUUGCUGGUGUCUCGUGACUGCGUGCCUUUUGAAGAAUGAGCCUGCGAGUUUGCGGUGUGUUGCGAGGUUAACCCGGGUGGGGAAGCCGUAGCGAAAGCGAGUCCGAAUAGGGCGAUUCAGUAGCACGCUCAAGACCCGAAGCGGAGUGAUCUAGCCAUGGGCAGGUUGAAGCGGAGGUAAGACUUCGUGGAGGACCGAACCCACCAGGGUUGAAAACCUGGGGGAUGACCUGUGGUUAGGGGUGAAAGGCCAAUCAAACUCCGUGAUAGCUGGUUCUCCCCGAAAUGCAUUUAGGUGCAGCGUCGUGUGUUUCUUGCCGGAGGUAGAGCACUGGAUAGGCGAUGGGCCCUACCGGGUUACUGACCUUAGCCAAACUCCGAAUGCCGGUAAGUGAGAGCGCGGCAGUGAGACUGUGGGGGAUAAGCUCCAUGGUCGAGAGGGAAACAGCCCAGAGCAUCGACUAAGGCCCCUAAGCGUACGCUAAGUGGGAAAGGAUGUGGAGUCGCACAGACAACCAGGAGGUUGGCUUAGAAGCAGCCACCCUUGAAAGAGUGCGUAAUAGCUCACUGGUCUAGUGAUUCCGCGCCGACAAUGUAGCGGGGCUCAAGCGUACCGCCGAAGUCGUGUCAUUGCGAUAUGUACCCCCAACGGGGAUCGUGAUGGGUAGGGGAGCGUCGUGUGCCGGGUGAAGCAGCGCCGGAAGGCAGUUGUGGACGGUUCACGAGUGAGAAUGCAGGCAUGAGUAGCGAUACACACGUGAGAAACGUGUGCGCCGAUUGACUAAGGGUUCCUGGGUCAAGCUGAUCUGCCCAGGGUAAGUCGGGACCUAAGGCGAGGCCGACAGGCGUAGUCGAUGGAUAACCGGUUGAUAUUCCGGUACCCGCUGUGAAGCGUCAAACAUCGAAUCCAGUGAUGCUAAGCCCGUGAAGCCGCCGGCUGAGUCUUCGGACGAGGUCGGAGUGGUGGAGCCGGUGACCCGAGCUGGUAGUAGGUGAGUGAUGGGGUGACGCAGGAAGGUAGUCCAUCCCGGGCGGUGGUUGUCCCGGGGUAAGGGUGUAGGCCGGACGGUAGGUAAAUCCGCCGUUCAUUAAGGCUGAGACCUGAUGCCGAGCCGAUUGUGGUGAAGUGGAUGAUCCUAUGCUGUCGAGAAAAGCCUCUAGCGAGUUUCAUGGCGGCCCGUACCCUAAACCGACUCAGGUGGUCAGGUAGAGAAUACCGAGGCGUUCGGGUGAACUAUGGUUAAGGAACUCGGCAAAAUGCCCCCGUAACUUCGGGAGAAGGGGGGCCACGUCUGGUGAGAGCACUUGCUGCUCGAGCUGGGGGUGGCCGCAGAGACCAGCGAGAAGCGACUGUUUACUAAAAACACAGGUCCGUGCGAAGCCGUAAGGCGAUGUAUACGGACUGACGCCUGCCCGGUGCUGGAACGUUAAGGGGACCGGUUAGCUCACUUUCGGGUGGGCGAAGCUGAGAACUUAAGCGCCAGUAAACGGCGGUGGUAACUAUAACCAUCCUAAGGUAGCGAAAUUCCUUGUCGGGUAAGUUCCGACCUGCACGAAUGGCGUAACGACUUCUCGACUGUCUCAACCAUAGGCCCGGUGAAAUUGCACUACGAGUAAAGAUGCUCGUUUCGCGCAGCAGGACGGAAAGACCCCGGGACCUUUACUACAGUUUGAUAUUGGUGUUCGGUUCGGCUUGUGUAGGAUAGCUGGGAGACUUUGAACUCUGGACGCCAGUUCAGGGGGAGUCGUCGUUGAAAUACCAGUCUGGUCGUGCUGGAUGUCUAACCUGGGUCCGUGAUCCGGAUCAGGGACAGUGUCUGAUGGGUAGUUUAACUGGGGCGGUUGCCUCCUAAAGAGUAACGGAGGCGCCCAAAGGUUCCCUCAGCCUGGUUGGCAAUCAGGUGUUGAGUGUAAGUGCACAAGGGAGCUUGACUGUGAGACCGACGGGUCGAGCAGGGACGAAAGUCGGGACUAGUGAUCCGGCGGUGGCUUGUGGAAGCGCCGUCGCUCAACGGAUAAAAGGUACCCCGGGGAUAACAGGCUGAUCUUCCCCAAGAGUCCAUAUCGACGGGAUGGUUUGGCACCUCGAUGUCGGCUCGUCGCAUCCUGGGGCUGGAGUCGGUCCCAAGGGUUGGGCUGUUCGCCCAUUAAAGCGGUACGCGAGCUGGGUUUAGAACGUCGUGAGACAGUUCGGUCCCUAUCCGCUGUGCGCGUAGGAGUCUUGAGAAGGGCUGUCCCUAGUACGAGAGGACCGGGACGGACGAACCUCUGGUGUGCCAGUUGUUCUGCCAAGGGCAUGGCUGGUUGGCUACGUUCGGGAGGGAUAACCGCUGAAAGCAUCUAAGCGGGAAGCCUGCUUCGAGAUGAGGACUCCCACCUCCUAGAGAGGGUAAGGCUCCCAGUAGACGACUGGGUUGAUAGGCCGGAUAUGGAAGCACGGUAACGUGUGGAGUUGACCGGUACUAAUAGGCCGAGGGCUUGUCCUCAGUUG